GGCUCGGCUUCUCUCUCUCUCUCAUCCUCUCCUCCACGGCAACAACGGUGACAAAGUCCGUCUCCCUUGGUGGCUCUGAGAAUCGCAUCAAAAUCGCCAAGGCCGGAGCAGUUAAGCCGCUCAUCUCUCUGAUCUCCUUUUCGGAUCCGCUGUGCUCUGCUAAAUAGAACAAACUCAGAGCCGUGCAGUCGGGUUAUUAAGCUGAGAUUCUUAUGCAUAAGAAGAACCAAGUCUUCUUCAACAAAGCUCAGGGAGGUGACGCGAGAUGCAAUGUUUUGGGUAGUCGUAACAGAAACAGCAAGCGGCUUCCUUGGUUUGGCCAUAAGCUUCACUUCGAUGUGGUUCUUGCAUCAAACCGGACCCACAACGUACAUUCUGGUGGGUUCAUUAAACAAGGUUCCGAUAUCAUUAUCUGGUCUUGUACUCUUUGAUGUCCCUCUCAGUCUCCCAAAUUUGUUCAGCAUACUUUUUGGUUUAUUUGCUGGUGUUGUCUUUGCCAGAGCCAAAUGUCAUAAUCGUGUUUCCAAGCCA